rnacentral:rRNA from 1 species
UACGAAGGGGGCUAGCGUUGCUCGGAAUCACUGGGCGUAAAGCGCACGUAGGCGGAUUGUUAAGUCAGGGGUGAAAUCCUGGAGCUCAACUCCAGAACUGCCUUUGAUACUGGCGAUCUCGAGUCCGGGAGAGGUGAGUGGAACUGCGAGUGUAGAGGUGAAAUGCGUAGAUAUCUGCAGGAACACCCGUGGCGAAAGCGGCGCGCUGGACCACUACUGACGCUGAGGAACGAAAGCUAGGGGAGCAAACAGG